rnacentral:rRNA from 1 species
AGCGGGCGAGGUUGCUUCGGUAACUGAGCUAGCGGCGGACGGGUGAGUAAUGCUUAGGAAUCUGCCUAUUAGUGGGGGACAACAUUCCGAAAGGAAUGCUAAUACCGCAUACGCCCUACGGGGGAAAGCAGGGGAUCUUCGGACCUUGCGCUAAUAGAUGAGCCUAAGUCAGAUUAGCUAGUUGGUGGGGUAAAGGCCUACCAAGGCGACGAUCUGUAGCGGGUCUGAGAGGAUGAUCCGCCACACUGGGACUGAGACACGGCCCAGACUCCUACGGGAGGCAGCAGUGGGGAAUAUUGGACAAUGGGCGCAAGCCUGAUCCAGCCAUGCCGCGUGUGUGGAGAAGGCCUUUUGGUUGUAAAGCACUUUAAGCGAGGAGGAGGCUACUUGGAUUAAUACUCUAGGAUAGUGGACGUUACUCGCAGAAUAAGCACCGGCUAACUCUGUGCCAGCAGCCGCGGUAAUACAGAGGGUGCGAGCGUUAAUCGGAUUUACUGGGCGUAAAGCGUGCGUAGGCGGCUUCUUAAGUCGGAUGUGAAAUCCCUGAGCUUAACUUAGGAAUUGCAUUCGAUACUGGGAAGCUAGAGUAUGGGAGAGGAUGGUAGAAUUCCAGGUGUAGCGGUGAAAUGCGUAGAGAUCUGGAGGAAUACCGAUGGCGAAGGCAGCCAUCUGGCCUAAUACUGACGCUGAGGUACGAAAGCAUGGGGAGCAAACAGGAUUAGAUACCCUGGUAGUCCAUGCCGUAAACGAUGUC